rnacentral:rRNA from 1 species
UACGUAGGGGGCCAGCGUUGUCCGGAAUCAUUGGGCGUAAAGCGCGCGUAGGCGGCCAGAUAAGUCCGGUGUGAAAGUCAAAGGCUCAACCUUUGAAUGCCGCUGGAAACUGCCUGGCUUGAGUCCGGAAGGGGCGAGUGGAAUUCCUGGUGUAGCGGUGAAAUGCGCAGAUAUCAGGAGGAACACCGAUUGCGAAGGCAGCUCGCUGGGACGUAACUGACGCUGAGACGCGAAAGCGUGGGGAGCAAACAGG